AUUGAACGCUGGCGGCAGGCCUAACACAUGCAAGUCGAGCGGAUGAAGGGAGCUUGCUCCUGGAUUCAGCGGCGGACGGGUGAGUAAUGCCUAGGAAUCUGCCUGGUAGUGGGGGAUAACGUCCGGAAACGGGCGCUAAUACCGCAUACGUCCUGAGGGAGCAAGUGGGGGAUCUUCGGACCUCACGCUAUCAGAUGAGCCUAGGUCGGAUUAGCUAGUUGGUGGGGUAAAGGCCUACCAAGGCGACGAUCCGUAACUGGUCUGAGAGGAUGAUCAGUCACACUGGAACGGAGACACGGUCAAGACUCCUAAGGGAGGCAGCAGUGGGGAAUAUUGGACAAUGGGCGAAAGCCUGAUCCAGCCAUGCCGCGUGUGUGAAGAAGGUCUUCGGAUUGUAAAGAACUUUAAGUUGGGAGGAAGGGCAGUAAGUUAAUACCUUGCUGUUUUGACGUUACCAACAGAAUAAGCACCGGCUAACUUCGUG
rnacentral:rRNA from 1 species